rnacentral:lncRNA from 1 species
AUUUAUGAAACUAGUUAUUGUGCAUGUGGCCUAUCCCACAUGUAAAUGGAAGAGAAACUUACCAUAGUUCAUAAAUUGAAAUAUUUGGUUUCAGCUAUACUCAGAUUGAAACCAUAAAAGAAUCAGAAUGACUAUAGUUCUCUGAUUGUCAGAUUUACCACCAUAGCUACAAAUUUCCUAACUACUACAUCUCAGGAUUCAUGUAAGGUUUGUAGCUUCUUUGCAAGCAUGUUUGAAUAUUCACCACAUCACACAGUUAUUAUUUUUGUCUUUCUUUUAAGGAAAACGUGAUAUUAUUACAUUUGUCCCCAAGUAAUUGAAAGUCAAAUUAUUUUCAUACACAACGAAAUUUGAUAAGAGUACAAGAUUUGGAGUAACAACGGAAUAACACUUAAAAAUAGGUUGAUCAAAAGAAAUAUUUUCUAUUUCUUGACACCUUGAGUUUUUGGUGUUUUGCUUUGCAUAUGUGAUUUAAAAAAAAAAAACAAGCCUAUUAUUUUAAUAGGAUAUUUCUGUGAAUAAUCAGAGACUCUGUCCCCUAGUGAACAUUAUAGAAGGAAGCCACGUGACUGAAUUCCUUACUAAUUGGUUGUCACCUAUUGUUACUUGGCAGAUGCCGGAAUCCUCGGAGUAGAAGGAUACAGAGUGUGUCAUAUCACCUGUGCCAGAAAAUACUGCCAGACUCAGAGGCACCCUCCCCCAGGAACCCCAGCCCCAUAAUGGGGAAGGUCCCACCAGUGCGAAGGCCCCACAUGGGGACCCGUCCCUAGUGAGGACAUGUACCCCUGAAGAGGAGUACCCCUGGCCGCUGGCCCACGCCACCCUGCACGUGAGUACAGCAACAGCGUUGAGGACCCCGGAAGGUGUUCCGUUUCUUGGUGGCCGUUUGUCUGAUGUGAGAAUUGGCCAGACCCUCUUCUUCUGCAUCCUCUUUAGCAUUUCAGGAAAGUAGAUGUAGGCCUCCUUUGUAUCCCUCUGCUUCCUCUUUUGCAAAAUUUUUUGUAAGAUGUUUAUUUUUUCCAUUAUAGUUGGUUUACAGUGUUCUGUCAAUUUCUACUGUAUAGCAAAGUGACCCAGUCAUAUGUGUGUGUAUAUAUCUAUAUGUGUGAUAUAUGUAUAGACAUAUACACACACUCAUUGUUUUUCUCACAGUAUUCUCCAUCAUGUUCCAUCACAAGUGACAAGUUCCCUGUGCUAUACAGCAGGAUCUCAUUGCUUAGCCACUCCAGAUGCAGUAAUUUGCAUCUGCUAACCCCAAACUCCCAGUCCAUCCCACUCACCCCACUCCCCCUCUGCAACCACAAGUCUGUUCCCCAAGUCCAUGAGUAUGCUUCUUUUCUGUAGAAAGGUUCAUUUGUGCUGUAUAUUAGAUUCCACUCUUUUGCAAAUUGAAUAGAAAUCAUUUGAUUAAGAGGUUAGGGCUGUUGGUUAAGACUCAGGGUAAAUGGUAUUAGCUGGACAGUCUGUUGCUACCUAGAGCAGUGCUGUUCAAGAGAACAUUCUGUAGUAAAGAAAAUGUUCUCUGUGUGUACUUUCCAAUACAGUAACCACUAACCCCAUGCUGAGUACUCGAAAUGUGCAGCUAAGAAAUUCAGUGUUUAAUUUAAUUGAAUUUAAAUUAAUUUAAAUUGUAUUCUCCCUGUGUGACUAGUGGCUACUCAGUUGGACAGCAAAGGCCUCCAUUUAAUGUUGUGUGCCUGAGACAUCUGACCUCCUUGAACAUUUCUGCAGAUAUACCUAUUUCCAUUUCUUUAAUAACCCGGAAAAUUUUCCUUGUGUUAUAUUCAUUACUCUAUGUAUGAUUUGCUAACAGUAAGAAAAUACUUAAAAAUUCUCAUUUCAAAAUUUAUUCACCCAUAUUGCCCUUAUGUAGUUUUAAUUACUUUAUGGUAUUAAGAAUUAAGAAUUAUUCAGUCUUAAAAUUAUGAAGUAAUAUCUAUUUAAAUAUCCCAGCUUUAUUUUCUUCUUUACACGUUUUAAUUUGCAACUUCAAUAUAUACGUAAAAGUAAUUACACACAUUAAAAUAACUUUCCCAUGUUAUUAUUCCUUUUUUAAAUGAGACUAUAAAAUAUCCUACAUUAGUACAGUAUGUGCAGUGUUUACCAAAGUAUUAAAUUUAGCAUUUACUCAUUAUAAUACAGUACUUAUAAAAGUUUCAAAGUUUGGUUCUGAUAGGUGGGUUACUGAAAUGACAGCUUAAUUACAUUUAGAGUUUUAACUGCUAGAUUAAAUGUCCCUCCACUAUUGAGCUAUCAUUAAAAAUUGCUACAUCGUAAGAUGUUAAUAAGGUAAAUUAUGUCCCAGGUAUAUGGAAACUUUCUGUACUAUCUGUACAAUUUUUCUGUAAAUCUAAAACUUUUUUAAAUUUAUUUUUAAAAAUUGCUUACAUCAAACUUUGUCAUGCUCUCUGUUUGUUAAUUUAGCUGUGUAUGCAUCUAGAAUAAGAAUCAUCAGAUCAGCAAUGGGUAGCACUUACAUAAGUGUUAUGACAUAGCAACUUCAGAAUAUCCCUGAGAGAUAAUGUUAUCAUAAUUUUACAAAUGAGGAAGCUGAGGCAUGGAAUACAGAGUAAUUGGGCCAAGGGGACCUAGCUGGUCAGUGGCAGGACCAGAAUUUGAGCGUAGCAAGUCAAGACUUUUAACCACUACACUGCAUUACCUCUUAAGGAAUCUUGAUUAUGCAAUAUAAGAUUUAUUUUCUCUGCUAUCAAUGUAGCAAGACAAAUUUUCCACUGUAAGAAUUCUGAAACAAUGGUAAUAAAUUGUUUCUACAACUUGAAAAGCAUAGAUACAUGCUCUAUUUCUGCUACAGUGAUUCAGACUUUAUUUUUUAUGCAAUGGUUCUUUAUCUUUGAGUAAGGAAUAUACCUACUUCAUAUUCUCUUGACAAGAAAUAUUCUAUGUUAGCAGGGUUUUUAAAAGUUGACGUUUGGAGUUCCCGUCGUGGCGCAGCGGUUAACAAAUCCGACUAGGAACCAUGAGGUUGCGGGUUUGAUCCCUGCCGUUGCUCAGUGGGUUAACAAUCUGGUGUUGCCAUGAGCUGUGGUGUAGGUCGCAGACUCAGCUCGGAUCCCGCGUUGCUAUGGCUCUGGCGUAGGCUGGCAGCUACAGCUCCGAUUCGACCCCUAGCCUGGGAACCUCCAUAUGCCACGGGAGAAGCCAAAGAAAUGGCAAAAAGACAAAAAAGAAAAAAGAAAAAAAA